AUUAUCUAUGUUAUAGUCAACGUUUAUUCAUAAAUAUAGUCCUUCACCGUCGCGUGUACAGUAUUUUCACUAUUUUGCCAAGGUCACCAAUAGCAAUUUCCAAUUUACCCUAUUAAUCUAGUCACGGAUAGGUAACUUUCCUAACUAACAUUGCUAUUGGUUAGUUUGGCAAAAAUAUAAUACUCGCGUGACGGUGAAAGGACCAGAUUUAUGAAUAAACGUUGACCAACAUAGAUAGU